GACAAGAUGUGGUGUGUGUGACCCGAGCUAGAGAGAGCCUGGAAGAGUUUAGAACAAUGCCUCAUUGUCUCAUGUUCUUGGCAUCUGGGAAACUAAGCUGGGUUGGAAGUUAAACAACAUUCUAUGCAGAUAACCAGGAGAUGGAUCAAGGUGGCUUAUUUGAAGGACAGAAAUGACCGACUAAGCAUUUUUUAGGGCCUAUAUAAGAUCUCUGUUUUUUCAUUACAAGUUAAGCACUCGGAAACACACUGCUGAUGAUUGCUUGAAUAAUUGUCCAAGUCUCUCUAAGGAAUGACAUUUACACGACACUCCUCCCCCAGGCCUAUAUUCACACAUUAACUCAACAAAAAAAAAGAAACGUCCCCUUUUCAGGACCCUGUCCUUCAAAGAUAACAGGGGGAGCGGGAUCGAUUUGGAGGUGGAGGGUCCGUCAUGGUCUGGGGCGGUGUGUCAAAGGAUCAUCGGACUGAGCUUGUUAUCAUUGAAGACAAUCUCAAAGCUAUGUGUUACAGGGAAGACAUCCUCCUCCCUAAUGUGGUACCCUUACUUGCAGGCUCAUCCUGACAUGAUCCUCCAGCAUGACAAGGCCACCAGCCAUACUGCUCGUUCUGUGCGUGAUUUUCUGCAAGACAGGAAUGUCAGUGUUCUGCCAUGGCCAGCGAAGAGCCCGGAUCUCCAUCCCAUUGAGCACUCCUGGGACCUGUUGGAUUGGAGGAGGAAGUGACACGGGACUAUGCUUAUGGCAAGAGCAACCCUCUGGUGAAGAGAUGUCGAGUGUUGCUAUGGAUACCAGCUGACUUGGAAGGGGUCAGCACUCAGACUCCUGAACCCUGUGAUCUCUACUACGAAGUAGGGAGACCUGAAACAUGUUUCAUGUGUCAAUACAGUCAGCCAAUUAAUUACUUACUCAAUGUCUUGAGGAAGUUCAUAAGUGAAAAGUCUAUACAUGAAACCUGCAGAGGAAGUCAAAUUAAUUACACUUUGAACAAUGGGUAAUGAUGUCCUCCAGUGAAUGUUUAUUUAAUUUAAAAAAUAAAUAAUUUUCUUGUUAAAGCGAUAUCCCAAGUAUAAAUACAGUAAAGUGCACACACUGAAGGGUGAAUUUUUGCUGUUGUUGUCGAACAAUUUUUUUUGUUAUUUUCACCUCCGGAUGAAAAGCGUGCCCAAAUUAAACUGCCUGCUACUCAGGCCCAUAAGCUAGGAUAUGCAUAUAAUUAGUAGAUUUGGAUAGAAAACAUUCUAAAGUUUCCAUAACUGUUAAAAUAAUGUCUGUGAGUAUAACAGAACUGAUAUGACAGGCAAAAACCUGAAAAUUCCAACCAGGAAGUACUAUUACAUUGAAAGCCUAACCACCAUACAAAGACUUAGGACCCAGUUCACGAUCUCUAUGGCUUCCUCUACAUGUGACCAGUCUUUAGGCAUUGUUUCAGGCUUUUACUCUGAAAAAUGAGGGAGAUACAGCACGUUCAAUGAGUGGACAGUGAACAUUUCCAGACAUGAGCCAAGCGCGUGAUCAGAACCGCGCCAUUCUUGUUUCUCCUUUUCUAUUGACGAAGCUUUUGUCCGGUUGAAAUAUUAUUGAUUAUUUAUGUCAAAAACAACCUGAGGAUUGAUUUUAAACAUUGUUUGACAUGUCUCUACAAACUUAUUGUACCUUUUUUAAAACUUUCCAUCUGGAUGUUGUGAGCGUGCAUUGUGCCUUUGGAUUACUGAUCUAAACGCACCAACAAAACGGAGGUUUUUGGACAUAAAGAUGAACAUUAUCGAACAAAACUAACAUUUAUAGUCGACCAUGGAAACCUGGGAGUGCCACCAGAUGAAGAUCAUCAAAGGUAAGUGAUUAAUUUGAACGCUAUUUCUGACUUUUGUGACACCUCGCCUUGGUUGGAAAAUGACUGUAUGGUUUUCUGUGGCUAGGCGCUGACCUAACAUAAUCACAUGGUGUGCUUUUGCUGUAAAGCCUUUUUGAAAUCUGACACAGCGGUUGCCUUAAGGAUAAGUUUAUCUUUAAUUAAUCCUAUGCAUAACACUUGUAUCUUAGAUCAAUGUUUAUGAUGAGUAUUUCUGUAAUUUGAUAUAGCUCUCUGAAAUUUCACCGGAUGUUUGUUUGAGACAAUGAUUACUGUACAUAACGCACCAAUUUCAACUGAGGUUUUUGGACAUAAAGAUGAACUUUAUUGAACAAAACACACAUUUAUUGUGUAACAUGAAGUCCUGUGAGUGCCAUCUGAUGAAGAUCAUCAAAGGUUAGUAAUUCAUUUAAUCGCUAUUUCUGGCUUUUGUGAGCCCUCUCCUUGGCUGGAAAAUGGCUGUAUGGUUUUCUGUGACUAGGCGUUGACCUAACAUAAUCGUUUGGUGUGCUUUCGCCGUAAAGUAUUUUUGAAAUCGGACACUGUGGUUGGAUUUACAUUAAGUUUAUCUUUAAAAUGGUGUAUAAUACUUGUAUGUCUGAGGAAUUUAAAUUAUGGGAUUUCUGUUUUGAAUUUGGCGCCCUGCAAUUUCAGUUGCUGUUGUCGAGGUGGGACGCUACCGUCCCACUGGUGCCAGACAGGUUAAGCAUGUUAACCCUCGCAAGGUUGCCGGCCCAGAUGUCCUCAGAGCAUGCACAGACCAGCUGGCUGGAGUGUUUACGAACAUAUUCAAUCUCUCCCUAUCCCAGUCUGCUGUACCCACUUGCUUCAGAAUGUCCACCAUUGUUCCUGUAACCAGAAAGCAGUGAACUAAAUGACUAUCGCCCUGUAGCACUCACUUCUGUCAUCAUUAAGUGCUUUGAGAGGCUAGGUAAGGAUCAUAUCACCUCCACCUUCCCUGACACCCUAGACCCAUUUAAAUUUGGCUUGGCACCAAAAAACCCUGAUAAAUUUUAACAGAUGCACAAUUGAGAGCAUCCGCCUGGUACGGCAACUGCACCAUCCGCAACCACAGGGCUCUCCAGCGGGUGGUGCGGCAUGCCCAACGGAUCACCGGGGGAAAACUACGUGCCUUCCAGGACACCUACUGCACCCAAUGUCACAGGAAGGCCAAAACUAUCAUCAAGGACAACAACCACCCGAGCCACUGCCUGUUCACCCCUCUAUCAUCUAGAAGGCGAGGUCAGUACAGGUGGAUCAAUGCUGGGACCGAGAGACUGAAAAACAGCUUCCAUCUCAAGGCCAUCAGACUGUUAAAUAGGGAUCACUAGGCGGCUUCCACCCGGUUACUUAUGGCCACUUUAAUAAUGGAACACUAGUCACUUUAACAUUUACAUAUUUUUGCUUUACCCAUCUCAUAUGUGUAUUCUGUAUUUAAUCUAUGCCACUGACAAUGCUCAUCCUAAUAUUUAUAUAUUCCUUUAUAUAUUCCUUUGUUAGGUUCUUAUAUUUUCAGAGUAAAUAACUCACGUAUACUAGAGAAGCUUAACCAAGUUUAAUUCUUCCCAAAGGGUCGACACAGCUGUAUUCAGACAAAAACAUGUUUCCACCACCACAAGUAUAUAUACUCCACUUUAGACACUCCUCCUUCUCUCCAAUCCUUACAUCUUAUGGUUCUACGGGAAGAGGGUAUGGUGGUAAAUUUCUUUACUAUCAAAUGAGGAGAGACAAAUGUAUCACACAAGUCAGAAUUAUACUUAAAUUAAAUCUUUAAUCACUUAUUAAUAAGGGAGCAGGUCAAUACAACGCACACAUAUAAAGUGAAUCGAUUGAGUGCGUUACGAUAAUGAUGGCUGGUCAUGGCUGGUUGACGAUUCACGAUCGGAUGAUUCGUUGAGAGUCCCGAGACAAAUGUAAAAAUGUAUUUUAUAGCCAAGAUACACCCCUUUCAACCUACAUGAUGAACAACAGAUAUAUAGAAUGGAUGACAAGGUUAAGAUUUGUAUGAAAGUUACGUACAGUUGAAGUCAGAAGUUUACAUACACUUAUGGAGUCAUUAAAACUUGUGUUUCAACCAAUCCACAAAUGUCUUAUUAACAAACUAUAGUUUUGGCAAGUCGGUUUGUGCAUGGCACAAGUCAUUUUCCCAACAAUUGUUAACAGACAUAUUAUUUCACUUAUAAUUCACUGUAUCACAAUUCCAGUGGGUCGGAAGUUUACAUACACUAAGUUGACUGUGCCUUUAAACAGCUUGGAAAAUUCCAGACAAUGAUGUCAUGACUUUAGAAGCUUCUGAUAGGCUAAUUGACAUCAUUUGAGUCAAUUGGAGGAGUACCUGUGGAUGUAUUUCAAGGCCUACCUUCAAACUCACUGCCUCUUUGCUUGACAUCAUGGGAGAAUCAAAAGAUAUCAGCCAAGACCUCAGAAUACAUUUUUUUGACCUCCACAAGUCUGGUUCAUCUUUGGGAGCAAUUUCCAAACACCUGAAGGUACAACAUUCAUCUGUACGAACAAUAGUACGCAAGUAUAAACACCAUGGGACCACGCAGCCGUCAUACCGCUCAGGAAGGAGACGCGUUCUGUCUCCUAGAGAUGAUCGUACUUUGGUGUGAAAAGUGGAAAUCAAUCCCAGAACAACAGCAAAGGACCUUGUGAAGAUGCUGGAGGAAACGGGUACAAAGUAUAUAUAUCCACAGUAAAACGAGUCCUAUAUCGACAUAAUCUAAAAGGCCACUCAGCAAGGAAGAAGCCACCGCUCCAAAACCGCCAUUAAAAAGCCAGACUACGGUUUGCAACUGCACAUGGGGACAAAGAUCGUACUUUUUGGAUAAAUUUCCUCUGGUCCGAUGAAACAAAAAUAGAACAGUUUGGCAUAAUGACUGUUGUUAUGUUUGGAGGAAAAAGGGGGAGGCUUGCAAGCCGAAGAACAUCAUCCCAACCGUGAAGUACGGGGUUGGCAGCAUCAUGUUGUGGGGGUGCUUUGCUGCAGGAGGGACUGGUGCACUUCACAAAAUAGAUGGCAUCACGAGGAAGGAACAUUAUGUGGAUUUAUUGAAGCAACAUCUCAAGACAUCAGUCAGGAAGUUAAAGCUUGGUCGCAAAUGGGUCUUCCAAAUAGACAAUGACCUCAAGAAUACUUCCAAAGUUGUGGCAAAAUGGCUUAAGGACAACUAAGUCACGGUAUUGGAGUGGCCAUCACAAAGCCCUGACCUCAAUCGUAUAGAAAAUGUGGGCAGAACUGAAAAAGAGUGUGUGAGCAAGGAGGUCUACAAACCUGACUGUUUCAACAGCUCUGUCUGGAGGAAUGGGCCAAAAUUCACCCAACUUAUUGUGGGAAACUUGUGGAAGGCUUCCAGAAAUUGUCACGCCCUGACCUUAGAGAUACCUUUUUUAUGUCUCUAAUUUGGUUUGGUCAGGGCGUGAGUUGGGGUGGGCAUUCUAUGUUUUGUGUUCUAUGUUUUCUAUUUCUGUGUGUUUGGCCUGGUGUGGUUCUCAAUCAGAGGCAGCUGUCUAUCGUUGUCUCUGAUUGAGAACCAUACUUAGAUAGCCUUUUCCCACCUGUGUUUUGUGGGCAGUUGCUUUCCGUUUUUGUCUGCAAUAUGUAAACUUCCGACUUCGACUGUAUAAUACAUAGCCGACAGUAUCUGCUGUGUCAACAGUUUUCAUUGUGUAGAGACAAGUGUCUGGCCCCGUAUAGAGCAGAAACAUUAACCCAUGCUCUGGAAUGCUCUUUAGGUUUUAUCACCCAAAAGACAUCAUAAAUCUCCUGUCAGUGUUAUCUCCCAGAGGCCCAUCCUCAGUAGGACACACACACAAUAGUUAUAAGAAUACUCUUUUCUGUUGCAUUAAACCAACCAUUUGAUGCAAUUAAAGUAUUAUUACAUAGUUUUACAAUUUUCCACCGUAAGGGUAAUAGGGUAAUGAACCAUAAUUUCUCCCUUCAGGGGAUCUGACCUGACCUCCUUACCUCAACCCUACUUUGUCUAUUCCACAGAUGUCCAUCAACUUCCCCUAUAGCAAUCCUGUGACUUCCUUCCGUCCACCCAACACAUUCCAAGCCAUCUGUCUUUCUACAGAGAACCGUUAACUUUUGACUUUAAAACCCGUUCUCUUUCACUCCUUUAUAUACUAUGCUUCUGAUCUAUCAUGUCUUUAGUUUCUCACUGUUCAAAGUUUACCCCUAGUCUAACACUUUAAUUCCAUUCUUUUACUUUUAGAUUUGUUGUGUAUUGUUCGAUAUUACUGCACUGUUGGAGCUAGAAACACAAACAUUUUGCUCGACCCACAAUAACAUCUGCUAAACAUGUGUGUGUGACAAAAUGCUCAAGUCAUUUCAAGUCCAUUUUUAUUUCAUUACCAUUAAUUAGCUAUGACAUAUCAUGCUCACAAAACCCAUUUUAACAGUGUACACAGAUGGGGGCAAGUUCCAAACAAUCUCCAUCACCUACGGUUCAUGUUCACAGAGACUGAAGAGGAGGCUGAUAUUCUUUGAACCUUCUCCCACAUCAGAGAUUGCAGGAAGUUAAGCGAGGUACGUCCUCACGUUGUGACCAUUCAGUUUCCCUGUGAGAUGGUUGUCCUAGUGUCGCAGAGGGCACGGGGGUCCAGGGGGGCGAGUGGCCACCAGAGACAUUUCACCUGCAGACCAAGAGGGAGGUGUUCAAGGCAUUUGCAGAGCUCUUCCAGGCAGCCUCGUCCCGGGCCGGGCCCCCUACGGUUUCUGUGCCUACCCCUCCUCCCAGGCCAUCUAUGCUGUAGACCCAAUGCUCAAGUGGGGCACUGGGGACAGAGGUGAACGUGUGAUGAAGCUUCAGAUCCUGGAGGUGAACUUCAGUCCAGACUGCGCCCGGGCCUGCUUCUACGACCACAUGUUCCAAACACUCUUCCUAAAUGAGGCUGAUCACUGCCCUGUCACUCAGGUCUCAUGAUGACCUCUAACCCCGGACCUCAAACCCUUCCAUAUUAUGCAGUUGAAAAGGUCCAUUUGGAAAAUGUGUAUUUCCUCUUUUUAGUGGAAUUUGAUAUUGAGUAACGGUCUGGACCAGAGGUGCCAAAUACAUUUUGCCCCAUGGGCCGCAUUCGUUCUCCACCGAGGUCUGGAGGACCGCACUUAAAAUUGACUAUAUUUCCUCUCCAUCAACAUUUGCAAAUAAAUUGUUUUUAAAUCACUUUUGGAAUGUUCUAUGGUCCCUAACUGUUGUUGUGGAAAUAUUGAAUUAAAUAUUUCUCAGAUACCGGAACUUGUGAAUUAAAAAAUACUUUAUAACAGAGCCGAGCAACUCCAUGGAAGAAC